rnacentral:rRNA from 1 species
UGGGGAAUAUUGCACAAUGGGCGCAAGCCUGAUGCAGCCAUGCCGCGUGUGUGAAGAAGGCCUUCGGGUUGUAAAGCACUUUCAGCGAGGAGGAAGGGUAGUGUGUUAAUAGCACAUUGCAUUGACGUUACUCGCAGAAGAAGCACCGGCUAACUCCGUGCCAGCAGCCGCGGUAAUACGGAGGGUGCAAGCGUUAAUCGGAAUUACUGGGCGUAAAGCGCACGCAUGCGGUUUGUUAAGUCAGAUGUGAAAUCCCCGCGCUUAACGUGGGAACUGCAUUUGAAACUGGCAAGCUAGAGUCUUGUAGAGGGGGGUAGAAUUCCAGGUGUAGCGGUGAAAUGCGUAGAGAUCUGGAGGAAUACCGGUGGCGAAGGCGGCCCCCUGGACAAAGACUGACGCUCAGGUGCGAAAGCGUGGGGAGCAAACA